GGACAUGCGCUCUAGACAGGCUUCACCAUCUGAUGAUGUUUCCACCUUCUAUGAAGAUGUGAGAAGCACACCUGACAUUUGCCUUAGACAGGAUUCACCAUCUGGAGAUGUAUCCACCUGUUAUGACGCUUUGAGAAGCACACUGGUCUUCCCUUCUGGAAAUUCAACAGUAUAUGAAACUGUGAAAUUUGUCCACGGCGCCCCACCAGCUGCAGUAACCCAGCUUCAUUAGAAAAGAUCUUUCCACUGACAGUCAGCACUGUAUUUACAUUCACUUCCUUUGCUGAUCCUUUUGCCAGCCAGAAUUUUAUAUUCACUCCAGGCAAUUUUACAGGAUUCGAACCAACAACCUCUACGAGCUCCCAUUGCCUUCUGUUUCAGCUGCUUUGUUUUAUAUAAAUGCAUCAACAUCGGCAUAUUUUGCGGCUGCCGAAUUGCACUUGAAGACAAUUAUGGGAUAAGUGAUACAUUAAACAGAUUUAAAGGGAGAAACGCACGGUGACUGUGAGUUCUUUUGAAAUGGGAACAGGGCUCAUUUUUAAGUCUCACAAAUGCCUUAUUAUGUUUCAAAAUCAGUGUAAUACUUUUUUUUCUUGAAAAAUGGUAAUUACCGGGUUUUUAACCGUUUCUAUAGGGCACUAUAGAUGGCCAUCGGUGUAAUAUAAGCAGGGAUUGAU